UCAUGUCGUUUAUAUGUUCAAUUUAAAAGAAAAGAUAAACCUAGUCUAAUAUGUUGUUUCAUCUUCUAGAGACCAUCCAGAGAACUCAUUGCUUCGGUUUGAUUGACGUCUAUUGGCCCUGCAGCCUGCUGUUUUUUUUACCAUCCAAACCCCCCUACCCCAUCUUUCUCGCUACCCCCAAACCCCAUCUCCUCUUAUGGCGUUUUUGAUGUCUCUUUUUUGAGACCGCUCAGUAAAACGGCUUGCCUAUCCUCUACCUGUCUCUACCCUAUUUCUCUCUAACUUAUUUACCGCUAUCAUUACGGCAUUCUCAUUUCUAAAGUACUUGAAAUGAACAAAAAAACCGAACUAA